UAAAAACAAUGGAAGAUUUACUGAGAACAGGUUUGAAGCGAAGCAUAUUUUCUAUAUUUUUCCCCUUUGACUACACAUUUUUAUGUAAGUUAUGACUCAUAAAAUCGUGUUUUCAUCGAAGAUUAGGAUGUGAAAAGCUAGCUGGUGCUCAUUCAAACAUUCCAUCAAACACUUGGUGUGCUAUGUAAAAUAUAAGGACAAAAUUCUCUUUGAAGCAUUUCACCAAACAGUUGGCGUGCACUGCGUAAUAGUUCCAAAUUCAGCAUAGCAGCAGUCAUCGCACUACCCGUCCGGGUCAACCCAGCACCGUUUAACACCCGCCCGGGUCAGUAACAGAAUGCAUCGAAAAUCCAGAAGGGGUGGAAUUUCUAUCACCCGGUCGGGUGAAUUUGUUGUUUAAAAAUCCACCCGGCCGGGUGGAUUAUUUCUAACUGCAGUGUCGGUAGUUUCAAAGGUAAAAAGAGGCGGUUGCUUUGGAGAAAGGUGGGCACGGUUUGGAGGAUGAAAUUGGACAAGUGAGGAGCACACACGUGCCAGUUCAGAGGGAGUAGAGGGGAGUUUAAUUGGAAAUUUUUAAAGGCCCAAAUGGGGACGUUUUUGCAGAGGAAAAGGGGAGAAGAAAUGAGAGAAAGAGAGGAGGAAGAAGAGAAGGAAGAAAUUCCGACGAUCCAUCUCCAUAUCUCCAUUCCACUCAACAAGAGCAAGCUUCCUACGGUUUUAAUUGUUAUUAUUACCAUGUGCUUAGGCUAAGCUCUUUAUGUUGCUCCAAGUUGUGAUUUAGACUUGUUUGAAUGUAUCUGCACAUUUGAAUUCACGUUUUGA